rnacentral:rRNA from 1 species
UACGUAGGGGGCAAGCGUUGUCCGGAUUUAUUGGGCGUAAAGCGCUCGCAGGUGGUUCGUCGCGUCGUGCGUGAAAGACCCCGGCUCAACUGGGGAGUGUCGUGCGAUACGGGCGGACUGGAGGCCAGUAGGGGGAUGCGGAAUUCCGGGUGUAGUGGUGGAAUGCGUAGAGAUCCGGAGGAACACCAGCGGCGAAGGCGGCAUCCUGGACUGGUCCUGACACUCAUGAGCGAAAGCGUGGGGAGCGAUCCGG